UCUAUUCCACCCCUACAGAAAGUGUCACCAGAUCUAUCAAUUUUUAUGAAGCUGUGUGUACGUGUGACUGUGCGUACCCCUUUACCUAUACUUAUGUGUGUAUAUAUACAUCUGUCUCUAUGUAUGCUUCAGUACUAAAGACUGAACAAUUUUACUCAGUUUUUGUAUCUUACUGCUAGAGCAUUUCCUAAGAAAACUAAUGACUGCUUAUCUGGAGCUAGACUGAGCUAUUCAGCAGGCACACAACUGCAUUGCCCCAGGAAGUAUACAAGGAAGGAAUUGGACCUGAAAAACGCAUAGUUUGUCUUGCCUCCCUUUCCUCAUUUGCGAAACAAAGAGCAACAGAGCACGAAUCCUACUACCAUCUAUUUCUCUAAGCAGCCUCCCGUGGAAAGAGGGAGACUUGAUUAGUGCGUGUGCGUAUGGCUGCCCGUCCACAUUUGGAAAACCUGCCACUAAGAGAAACAUCAGCUUGAUAUUCAUUACCAUCCUCGAGCUCUCUGCACUGUACACAUGAAAAGAAAAUGCUCCUAUAAACUGAGCUUCUCUGAUCUUUCAGCUUUAUGAGUAAAGUGAACAUCGCUGUCGCC